rnacentral:precursor_RNA from 14 species
AGCUCCAACACUGCUAUGGGGGCAAUCUGCUGUGAUAGUUGUCUUAUUCUCCGUGAUCUUGAUUGGAGAAUAAGUUCGCUAUUGCACCACACUGCCUCCACUAUCAACCUUGCCAGAU